rnacentral:rRNA from 1 species
UGGGGAAUAUUGCACAAUGGGCGCAAGCCUGAUGCAGCCAUGCCGCGUGUAUGAAGAAGGCCUUCGGGUUGUAAAGUACUUUCAGCGGGGAGGAAGGUGUUGAGGUUAAUAACCUCAGCAAUUGACGUUACCCGCAGAAGAAGCACCGGCUAACUCCGUGCCAGCAGCCGCGGUAAUACGGAGGGUGCAAGCGUUAAUCGGAAUUACUGGGCGUAAAGCGCACGCAGGCGGUCUGUCAAGUCGGAUGUGAAAUCCCCGGGCUCAACCUGGGAACUGCAUUCGAAACUGGCAGGCUAGAGUCUUGUAGGGGGGGGUAGAAUUCCAGGUGUAGCGGUGAAAUGCGUAGAGAUCUGGAGGAAUACCGGUGGCGAAGGCGGCCCCCUGGACAAAGACUGACGCUCAGGUGCGAAAGCGUGGGGAGCAAACA